AUGGCCCUCAAGAAAGCAAGAAAAGCGGUAGCACCCAAGAACCCAACGUCCGCCGCCGACGCUGGAGGCAGCGGCUCCACGGGCGCGGCGGAGAUGCCCGGUCCGCUCGGGCGCGGCGGCGCGCACAGCCUCAGCCCGCCGCGGCUGCCCCCCGGCGUCUACUUCAGCCCGACGCGGGAGGAGAGCGUGGCGCUCCUCGACCGCUGGAUCGCCGGCGGCAAGGAGGUGCCCGCCGACGCGCGGGGGUUCGUCUGCCACGCCGACAUCUACGGCGAGAGCCCCGACGCGCUGCGGCGGCGGCACCCGCCGGCGAGCGCCCGCGCGGGCCAGCACACCUGGUGGUUCCUCUGCGAGACCAGGUUCCAGUGCCCCGGCUCGGCGGCCAAGCGCGCCGGCCGCAAAGUCGACACCGGCGGGCACUGGCGGGCGGAGCGGAGCGAGGCCGAGGGGGGCGGGGUCGAGAGCCACUUCGUCUUCUUCCUCGGCCCGUCCAGGAAGGAGAAGACGCCGUGGCUGGUGCAGGAAUUCACCAGCGCCAACGACGACGGCGCCGGCAAGAAGGGCGUGCCCGCGCUCUACAUGCUCUACGUCUCCCCGCGCGCCACCGACGACGAGCUGAGGGGGAUCUACGGGGAGGACGGCGUCACGGUGGGGCCCGACGGGAACAAGAAGCAUGUCCGGGCCGCCGUCCCAGCAGGCUGUUUCGACGCCGUCGUGGCGCUGCUGCCGCCGGGGAGCGUCCGUGGUCUCGGUCAAGAGCGCGUUGAGGUGUCGCAGGCGCCGCCUCCGCCGCAGCCGGCGUGUCUUCUUCAUCACGACGGCCAGCAGGGGCAGAACUCCACGGGGGCCGCAUCGCCGGCGGGCGUUCUUGGUCAGUACCAGCAGCGGCGGCGGCAUGGGCGCUGCUUCAUGGGGGCCGCAGUGCCGGCGGCCGUUCUUGGUUAG
rnacentral:rRNA from 1 species